CAGUCGAACGGACUCAUAUUGAAACCUAGUGAUUUAUGAGUUAGUGGCGGACGGGUGAGUAACGCGUGGAUAACCUGCCGUAUACCGGGGGAUAACACUUGGAAAUAGGUGCUAAUACCGCAUAAGCGCACGGCUCCGCAUGGGGCAGUGUGAAAAACUCCGGUGGUAUACGAUGGAUCCGCGUCUGAUUAGCUAGUUGGCGGGGUAACGGCCCACCAAGGCAGCGAUCAGUAGCCGGCCUGAGAGGGUGGACGGCCACAUUGGGACUGAGACACGGCCCAAACUCCUACGGGAGGCAGCAGUGGGGAAUAUUGCACAAUGGGGGGAACCCUGAUGCAGCGACGCCGCGUGAGUGAAGAAGUAUUUCGGUAUGUAAAGCUCUAUCAGCAGGGAAGAAAAUGACGGUACCUGACUAAGAAGCCCCGGCUAACUACGUGCCAGCAGCCGCGGUAAUACGUAGGGGGCAAGCGUUAUCCGGAUUUACUGGGUGUAAAGGGAGCGUAGACGGUUAUGCAAGUCUGAAGUGAAAGCCCAAGGCUCAACCAUGGGACUGCUUUGGAAACUGUAAAACUGGAGUGCAGGAGAGGUAAGCGGAAUUCCUAGUGUAGCGGUGAAAUGCGUAGAUAUUAGGAGGAACACCAGUGGCGAAGGCGGCUUACUGGACUGUAACUGACGUUGAGGCUCGAAGGCGUGGGGAGCAAACAGGAUUAGAUACCCUGG
rnacentral:rRNA from 1 species